UAGAUAGAUAGAUAGAUAGAUAGAUAGAUAGAUAGAUAGAUAGAUAGAUAGAUAGAUGAUACAGAUAGGCAAAGAGAUAGAAAGACAGACAGACGGGAAAACCACGGACCCCUCCUUUCAACCUAUAGUUACAAACCUUCUCCUUUAUGGACAGGAUCUCCUUCCAGUUUCAGCACUACAAGAUGGAUCAUUCGCUGAGAAAGCUGCCCUUUCUGAAGAAGAAGGACAGCAAGGAGUCCCAUCCAGAGAUCACCAAUAAUGACCCACGCGGUGGGACAACCAAGAAGCCGACUUCUCUGGCUCCCGCCCAUCCAGUUCCUCAGUCACUCAGAGAGCCACGCAGGUCUUGCCUUUGCUUCUGAAGUCUUCCCCAGCUCCAAUGGAGGUCAAGAAGAAGGUUCAGCCUUCAGCGCUGGUGCUGCCUGAUUUCACCCAGAGAACAACCUUCAGGACCCCUCUGAGGGCUCCUCAGGGGGAGAUCAAGCCUGGCCUGAAAGAGCCCCCUCCCUUGCCAAGGGGUUUUCCCGAGAGGGAAAGGGCUCCGAUGAGAAAAGGCUCUACAGAUGCUGGCCGGCCUUUAUAUCCAGAACUCUCCGAUGAAUGCUUUCGACAUUUAUGGGAGAGAAAGAAGCCACUGAAAGGAGACCAGUCAAAGAACUCCUGGACUUGAUGGAUGAGAGAGAAAUGUUGGAGACCAUCUUGGACAAUCUUUGUCCUUUCCAGAUUCCUUCAGACCAAAAACUGCCCAGGAAGAAAACAACUAGAUUGCCCCCCAUCCAGCAAAGCACAUCCCACUUCUCAUCUAAAGACAAGG